ensembl:snRNA U6 U6 spliceosomal RNA
CACCUCAGAAACAUGUAUUUUUAAAAAAUUGGAAUGACACGGAGACGAUUAUCAUGGCCCCUGCAUAAGGAUGACAUGCAAAUUUGUAAAGCAUUCCACUCAAAA